GCUCCCUCAGCGUAGGGGUUACUGCGCUCGCCUUGCACGCGGGAGACCCGGGUUCGAUUCCCGGCGGGGUCA
rnacentral:tRNA from 1 species